rnacentral:rRNA from 1 species
GAUGAACGCUAGCGGCAGGCCUAACACAUGCAAGUCGAGGGGUAACAUAGAAAAGCUUGCUUUUCUGAUGACGACCGGCGCACGGGUGCGUAACGCGUAUACAACCUACCUUUUAGCGGGGAAUAGCCCAGGGAAACUUAGAUUAAUGCCCAUAGUAUAUAGACUUCUCCUGAAGUUUAUAUUAAACAUUUAUGGCUAUUAGAUGGGUAUGCGUCCUAUUAGUUAGUUGGUAAGGUAACGGCUUACCAAGGCAGCGAUAGGUAGGGGUCCUGAGAGGGAGAUCCCCACACUGGUACUGAGACACGGACCAGACUCCUACGGGAGGCAGCAGUGAGGAAUAUUGGACAAUGGGCGAGAGCCUGAUCCAGCCAUGCCGCGUGCAGGAAGACUGCCCUAUGGGUUGUAAACUGCUUUUACAGAGGAAGAACCACCCCCACGUGUGGGGGUUUGACGGCACUCUGCGAAUAAGGAUCGGCUAACUCCGUG